rnacentral:rRNA from 1 species
AUGUCAAAGUUUUGGUGGGAUGAAUCUCUUGAUAAGAGAAGAAUGCACUGGCAAUCGUGGGAGAAGAUGGCUGUCUCAAAAUUCAAGGGAGGUUUGGGAUUCCGGGAUUUGGAGUUGUUCAAUGAUGCAAUGCUAGCCAAACAAGCGUGGCGGCUGUUGGAGAGACCAGCCAGCCUAUGCGCGCGUGUUCUCAAGGGUAGAUAUUACCCGGAUGGAGAUUUCUUGCAGGCAGGAUGCCCUGCUAGUGCCUCUACUACGUGGAAGGCCAUAAUCACCGGUAGGGAGGUGCUCAAGAGGGGUUUAAUCCGUAGAAUCGGUGAUGGAACUACUACGGAGGUAUGGCAUGAUAACUGGAUACAAGGGAGUAAUACUUUCAAACCGGUGUGUAACAUGGGAAGUGACCCCAUUCACCUUGUGUCUGAGUUGAUGACGGAUGAUGGUGACUGGAAUGAGGAAAUUAUCGAGAGAACCUUCAUUGCCCCGGAUGCACAGGCCAUCCUUAACAUGCCAAGGCCAAGGGUUGUUGUACCUGAUUUUUGGGCAUGGGGCCAUGAGAGGUCCGGGGUUUUCACGGUUCGAUCCGCGUACAGGAUGCUGUUGGAGUCCCGCGAAAAUGACUUGAACCAGGUUGGCAGCUCUUCCCAGGGGGAGGAGGUGUGGAAAUCACUAUGGCGUCUAAAGGUACAUCCCAAGAUACGAAUUUUCUGGUGGCGGGUCCUUAAAGGAUUCCUGCCGGCGAAGGAAGAGUUAUGCCGUUGA